rfam:Schistosoma mattheei strain Denwood, Zambia genome assembly, scaffold: SMTD_contig0007475
GCACUGCUGUAGAGUCCCACAAUAGGACGAAACGGCCGUCCAGUGC